AGCGAACGCUGGCGGCAGGCUUAACACAUGCAAGUCGAGCGGGCACUUUCGGGUGUCAGCGGCGGACGGGUGAGUAACGCGUGGGAACGUGCCCUCUGGUUCGGAAUAACUCAGGGAAACUUGAGCUAAUACCGGAUACGCCCUUUUGGGGAAAGGCUUGCUGCCGGAGGAUCGGCCCGCGUCUGAUCAGCUAGUUGGUGAGGUAACGGCUCACCAAGGCGACGAUCAGUAGCUGGUCUGAGAGGAUGAUCAGCCACACUGGGACUGAGACACGGCCCAGACUCCUACGGGAAGCAGCAGUGGGGAAUAUUGGACAAUGGGCGCAAGCCUGAUCCAGCCAUGCCGCGUGAGUGAUCAAGGCCUUAGGGUUGUAAAGCUCUUUUAUCCGGGACGAUAAUGACGGUACCGGAGGAAUAAGCCCCGGCUAACUUCGUG
rnacentral:rRNA from 1 species